AUCCCCCCUCCACGUCCCGCGAGGCCUGACCUCCGCUCGCCCACCCUCCGCGCGGCCGGUGGCGCAGCCCCAGCCCGCGGCCCUGGCUUCCCGGGCGGCGCGGCAGGGGAGGGGUUAAGCUGCCGCAGGGACGGCCGCGUGCGGGGCGAGAGGGAGCCCCCGGUGGGGGAGGCGCAGCCGGCGGUGCGGAGCCCCGCGCAGGGGCGGGAGGGGUGGGGAGGGGAGGGGGCGGCCGCGGCGCGGGGGCGGGGCGGCGGGAAGCGGGGCCGCGGCGCCGAGAGCGGGCGGGAGCUGCAGCCGCAGCGAGGCCGGCGGGCGGGAGCGCACGGAGGUGGCGCCGGCCCGGCCGGGUGCGGGCUCCGUGCCGCGCGGGUCCCAAGAGUGAGUGAGCGACAGCGGGCGAGGCGCCAGGCAGAGGAGGGCCUGGCCCCCAGGGGCCCACCCCGGGGCGGCGCAGGCGGGCCGGGGGCAGCGGGUGGAUUGGUGGGAGCGGAGUCUGCGGCCCCGGUCCCGGGUAGGUGGGAGAGAGCUGAAACGCCCUGGACGACCGGCGGGAGGGGGCGGCAUCCGCGGCGCCUCCGGCCCUUCCCAGCCACGUCUCAGCGGGACCUUCUCUCGCGGACCCCCCAUUUGACAGAUGAGAAAAUUGAGGCUCCGAGAGGCCAAGUGACUCUCAAGGUCACACAGCGAGGAGGCGACAGAGCUAGACGGGGCUGGCUCUGGGUGGCUCCUAGGAAAAGUCAGCCAGAGAACUCGGUGGAGGAGCCCCCUCCAGCCCCCGCGAGUUUGUGCAGGGGAGGGGGACGGGGUACCUUUACCGGGGGGGGGGGGACCAGGCUCUGCCAGCGUCCGGGGAUGAGGGGUGUCAGGGCGCUGCGGCCGCAGAGCUGGUUUCUGGACUGCGGAGGAAAUGGGGGCGUGUGUGCACGCCCAUGGGGUGUGUGUGCAUGUGUGGGAUUGUACAUGCGUGUAGGUGCACUGUCUUGUGUGUGUGUGUGUGUGUGUGUGCGUGCGCGUGUGCGUGUGCGCACGUGUGCGAUUUCAGAGCCUCCGUGGCCGCGGGACUCCAGGCUGGCCUGGCUCGAGCGAGCUGCAAGUCCAGAACUGGCCCCAUCAACGGGUUUGCAUUCUGGGCUAGAAAGCUGGGUAUGUGUGCCCGAGGGAUCCUUCCUGCAGGUGUGCACGGGGUGUGAGUGCCAUUGUGUGUAUGAGACAGAGGCUGGGAGGCAAGUGCCUGAGGCCCAAGUGUGUGUGUAUGGGGGGGGGGGAGGGGUCUUUCACCCCAAUGUGGGCCUCUGGCCUCAGGUAUAG
rnacentral:lncRNA from 1 species